rnacentral:rRNA from 1 species
UACGGAGGGUGCGAGCGUUGUCCGGAAUCACUGGGCGUAAAGGGCGCGUAGGUGGCGCGGGCAGUCAACGGUGAAAGUUCGGGGCUCAACCCUGAAUCGGCCGUCGAUACUCCCGGGCUUGAGCACUGUAGAGGCAGAUGGAAUUCCGGGUGUAGCGGUGGAAUGCGUAGAGAUCCGGAAGAACACCGGUGGCGAGGGCGGUCUGCUGGGCAGUAGCUGACACUGAGGCGCGACAGCGUGGGGAGCAAACAGG